UCUUAUUUUUGGCUUUUCAAUUUUCAAAUCAGUUUGAAAAUACCGUUUCUCAAAUAAUUGGAAACUCCCAUCGGUUCUGGUUUUCUCCUCUUUCCCUCUGUCGACGUCUACUACGUUUCUGUCUAUCUGUGCUUUCUUCUCUCUUAGUUUUGAUUUUUCCUUCUCAAUGCAGUCUUUUUUUCUCCUAUUUCACUCCGCCUCAUUUCCCCAUCUCUAUCGCUUAUUUUUCGUUUCAUAUGCUCGCUUUCUUACUGGGUUGUUGAAGACUGAAGAGCAAUGAAACUGUUUUGAGGUCUCAACUUGAAUGUAUAAACUAUGUUGUCCAGGUACUAUUUUAAGGUUGCGUUCUUUUGUUGUUUCAUGUGGGUACGUGUGCGAUUUAUCAUUCCUUCUCUUCCAUUUCUAUUAAAUUUUGAAUGAGCAAAGUUUAGAAUCAAGCUUAUUCUACUGAUCGGGUUGGAAAAAAAUUAAUGGAUCAUGGGCAUCAAAUAUCACUCAUGACAUUAGGGAAGCUUUUCUUAUUAAUUUAGAUUCUAUGGGUAUAUGCUGAUUCUUUUUAUUUGCAGUGAGAGGAUCGCCUAGCAUCUCAAUAAUGGUGUCCUGACCAUAAAAGCUGAUUUACAAUGAUUAAUCAAUUAGCAUGUUGGUUCUGAAAAUUCAGUGCCAUUUUCUAGGAAGCUCAUCACUUGAAUUGCUCUAUUUUUAUUUAAUUCCUAAUUAUUUGACAUGUAUGCUUUCUGUAUUUAUAAAACUUCCUUCUCAAUGCUUCCUUCUCCAAGGCAUCAUAUCAGUGCGAUAAAAUCUUCACAAAGAAAACUAGAAGACAAACUGCAUAUAUAUAUACUUUGGUCUUUCAUUUUUAUGUAACAAAUACCAUUGUCAUAUUUGUAUACAGUACUUUGGUCCUUGCAGGUGGCUUAUUAUAUUUAAGUGUUAGAGGAUUGAUUCCCCUCUUGCUUAUCAUUCCCCUUGAUUUUUUUUCUUCUAUAAUUUUCUCUUCUUUAUAAGCAAAGCAAUUCUUUCCCAUAUUUAUGCAGGAAUAUAUCAUCCAAAUUGGCUAUUGGCUAUCAUAAUAACUGGUGAAAUCUACAGUGAACUUAACAAAGUAUAUACUUUUUUUAGUAUCUUUGUUUUAUUCUCCUGUUAAGGUAAUUUUUUUGUUAUUUAAAAUAAAAAUGGUGUUCAAUGGCUUUGUAUUUUAUUGAUUUAACUACUGUAAUCAUAUUUAUCUUUGCAAAAGUUUAUUAUCAGGCCUCCAUGGAAAGGAGACAAGUUUUUUCCAGUCAAAUUUUAUAAUUAAACAGGGGCAGAAAUACUUUUUUUUUAUUUUUUAGUUUCUGGUAUUUCAGGUUGAGUAACUUAUAAGCUUAUAUGGUUAACUUAGGUUCUGCUACUACACAGCAGGAAAUGGAGGUUUCAGCCCGGCCAACCAUACCAGGUUGUUGUCUAGACAUUAAAACGGCGCUGAAAUAUUUUAACUGAAGCCGGAUAGCAGAAUGGCUCUAUGUGAUUUGAUAUUUGUAUGCUUAUAUCUUAGCGUGCACUUGUUUAAUUUAUGAUUUGAUACCUCAUGCACUUUUUAUUGUGAUAUUGAUUAGCUUCUUAUAAUUGCUCAUGUUAAUAUUAGUCAUGAGGUCUGUUGAACUUAGGAAAUGUUCAUUUUUUUUAAUAUGUAAGUACUCAAGCACUUACAAAUAAAUUUUAAUAUUAAUAAUAUUUUAAAAAAUUAAAUAUAUCAAAACUAAAAUUAAAAUACCCGGGCAACUUGCUAGUUACCAUUAUAUCCUCUUGUGUUUAGCCUCUUUCCUAACAUUACCAUUAUACCCCUCCUCCUUUACCCUCUCUUCCUAUCUCCAGUUCGAUGCCGCCUCCGUUGGAUAGCGUUGCCGGUCCUUCUCCCCUUCAUCUUCUUCCUCAUGGAACCCUUUGCCUGAACUACUGCCCGAGUUGGAGAACAGAGUGGGUUUUCAGAUUGGGUUUUCAUGGCUAGAUCUAAACGAGAGCGAAACCGAGCCCAGCAGAUCCAAGCCACUGCCAUGCCUGUGUUGUAGAUCUCACUGUCAAACCACCAGGGUCAUCGUUGGGGUCGUAUUCCACCACCAUUGCCUCAGGCCGUUCCAACCACCAUCCUUGCCUCAAUCUCUCCCUCAUCUGGGUUUGUUUGUGUCUCUGUCCUUUUCACUCAUGGGAUUGCUUCGAUGGAGAAGAAUCAGAUGUGCACUGUGGUUCGAUGAAGACUAUAGUGUACUCCGAUGAAGUCUUCAAUCUCAGGUUCUCACUCACCAUGACUCCGAUGAAGAGUAUGGUCGACUCCGAUGAAGACUCUCACUCUAAGGUUCUCACAUGGCCUCCGAAAUAAGGAGAUUAUGAUGGCAAAGUAACUCCUGAGAAGGUAGCAGCUGCUGCAAUGUACUUAAAGGGUAUACAAGAGCUCAUCACAUUUGAGAAACUACAAGGCCUCCCAAAUUGCUGUGGUGUAGUUGAUGUUACACACAUCAAUGUGUUUAGCUUCUACAUAACCUCAUAAGGAAGUGUGGCUUGGCCAUGAGAAGAAACAUAGCAUGGUCAAUAGUGGAUCCUGGAUAUGAGGUUCAGAGACAGUCACUGGUUGGCCAGGUCAUUUGAAUGAUUGGAUGGUCUUUGAGGAUUCAACUUUCCACAAUCAAGAUGCAUAUAAAUGGGGAAGAGAAUUUCUUACAGAUCAGAUCAUGGGAGCAAUAGGCUUAGGAGUAGUACAAUAUGUAUCAAUAUAUUGUAUUUGUAGAAACACAUUAAGUGUGAUAUUUAUUUGCAGUUUUGUCAACGUUGUAAUUUCAGUUAAAUUGUGAGCUACUCCAGAUUUGAGUUAUUGUGUACUAUUUUUUGUGACAAUAUCUUAUAUAAUAAAAGUUAUGAUUCAUUUAUAGA